rnacentral:lncRNA from 1 species
ACAUGAUUCCUCUCCUCUAAAAUACUGGCUGGUUCAGUUGUGACAAAAUGAUUCUGUCCAGUUUUUUCCAUCUUUGUUGUGUGUCGAACAGAAGCAUUUUUGUCUGCUGAGUGUUGGUUUAGUUGGAUGUGAAUUCCUGUUGCUAUUUUGUCUAUCUUUGGUAUUGCAGUAUUUGAACUAACUGCUUUUGCAGUAUUUGUUGGAAGAAAAACUGGAGCGUUAUGGUUCAACN